UAACACUGCGGGUAGAAGAUGUCUAUGCCGUAUACUCUGCGGUAUCGAAUUAGCGUUUAAGCGAUCUUGUAAGAUAGCCGACCGUGGGGGCUUAGGGUUGCUUAAAUGUUGGCAACCCUAUUAUUUUUUA
rnacentral:ncRNA from 1 species